CACCACAUCAGGCACAUCUGACAGAAAUUCAACCGACAGAACAGUACAUUAACAGCGGCGAGACAUUACCUGACCCAAGUGCUUCAAAUUGGGUACAUAGAUUCUGGAUCUACGGCUCAUCUCUCAGCUACUGCAUGUACUAUUAAUUCUUCUCUUAGUCAUAACAUCAGUCACUCAGUCAUGGGAUCUUCCAACUCAGAAAGUGCUGCUCCGAUGUGGUAGCUCCGUAGAUCUCUAUCCUCUUCCUGCUUGCUUUAAUAAGCCGACAUCGGCAUCUUCAACAGCUCUUUUGGCCUCUUGUCCAACACUUUGGCACAAAAGAAUUAGCCACACAAAUGAAGCUGCUUUUUGUUCUAUUUUGUCUUCAAAUUCCAAUUCAUGUACUAAGGAAAAAUUUCCUAGUUCUUGUCCAACUUGUCUUUUGGGAAAACAAAUAAAACUUCUAUUUUAUGCUUCAAA